rnacentral:piRNA from 1 species
UACAGUGAAGUGUGAUGCAGUCUUGAUGGU